rnacentral:rRNA from 1 species
CGUCUAUAUACGUAUAGCAUAUCAAUAAGCGGAGGAAAAGAAACUAACAAGGAUUCCCUUAGUAACGGCGAGUGAAGCGGGAAGAGCUCAAAUUUGAAAUCUUCAAGGUUUUACCUUGACGAAUUGUAGUUUAAAGAAGUGUUUUCUGUUGGAGUUUUGGUAAAAGUUCUUUGGAAUAGGACAUCAUAGAGGGUGAGAAUCCCGUAUUUGACCAUUAUUUCCAACUUUGUGAUACACUUUCAAAGAGUCGGAUUGUUUGGGAAUGCAGUCCAAAAUGGGUGGUAAAUUUCAUCUAAAGCUAAAUACUGGCGAGAGACCGAUAGCGAACAAGUACCGUGAGGGAAAGAUGAAAAGAACUUUGAAAAGAGAGUUAAACAGUACGUGAAAUUGUCAAAAGGGAAGCGUUUGACACCAGUGUUGUUUUUUCCGAAAAUCAAUUACUGAAUGGCUUUGAUUUUUAAGAAGUUAUGACUUCAUCGGCUUGCUUCUUUCUUUACGAAACUUUCUUAAUGCACUUUUCGGUUAACAAGUCAACAUCAAUUUCUUUUGUUGUAAAAGGGUAUGAGGAAGGUGGCUUUCUUUUCGGAGAAAGUGUUUAUAGCCUUGUACCUCUGCAAUCGGAGAGAUUGAGGUCUGCAGCGUAGAUCUUUCGGGGUUAGAUACAUUUGUGCUAAGUUAUAGCUUUUCAUAGACAACUUGUUGACUAUGUUAAGUCUUGUAGCUUACUCGCUUAUGCUAUUUUACCUACGCUUAGGAUGUUGAUAUGCAUGACUGAUAU